UACCUCAGGUUGAUCCUUUCACCUUCGCCUU
rnacentral:piRNA from 1 species